GCCCGGCUAGCUCAAUCGGUAGAGCGUGAGACUCUUAAGGAGUAUCCGUACAGAAAACAUCUCAAGGUUGUGGGUUCGACCCCCACGUCGGGCU